UACGGGGGGGGGCAAGCGUUGUUCGGAAUUACUGGGCGUAAAGAGCGUGUAGGCGGCUGGGUAGGUCCGUUGUGAAAACUCGAGGCUCAACCUCGAGACGCCGAUGGAAACCCUCCAGCUAGAGUCCGGAAGAGGAGAGUGGAAUUCCUGGUGUAGCGGUGAAAUGCGCAGAUAUCUGGAGGAACACCGGUGGCGAAGGCGGCGUUCUGGACUGUUUCUGACACUGAAAAACGAAAGCCAGGGGAGCAAACGGG
rnacentral:rRNA from 1 species